GGGGCGUUAGCUCAGUUGGUAGAGCAGUUGACUUUUAAUCAAUUGGUCGCAGGUUCGAAUCCUGCUCGCCCCACCA
rnacentral:tRNA from 1 species